GGAAGAGUGGCCGAGCGGUCUAAGGCGCUGGUUUUAGGCACCAGUCUCUUCGGAGGCGUGGGUUCGAAUCCCACCUCUGCCA
rnacentral:tRNA from 1 species